rnacentral:rRNA from 1 species
AUUGAACGCUGGCGGGAUGCCUUACACAUGCAAGUCGAACGGAGUGGCGAACGGGUGAGUAAUGUAUCGGAACGUGCCCAGUAGCGGGGGAUAACUACGCGAAAGCGUAGCUAAUACCGCAUACUAUUGGAGCGGCCGAUUUGGGCUUAGCCAGUUGGUGGGGUAACGGCUCACCAAGGCGACGAACCGUAGCUGGUGUGAGAGGACGACCAGCCACACUGGAACUGAUGAACGGCCCAGGCGCCUACGGGAGUCAUCAGUGGGGAAUUUUGGACAAGGGGGGAGACCCUGAUGCAGCCAUCCCGCGUGUGCGAAGAAGGCCUUCGGGUUGUAAAGCACUUUUGGCAGGAAAGCGGUACCUGCAGAAUAAGCACCGGCUAACUACGUGCCAGCCGCCGCGGUAAUAC